CUAACAAGGAUUCCCCUAGUAACUGCGAGUGAAGCGGGAAAAGCUCAAAUUUAAAAUCUGGCAGUCUUUGGCUGUCCGAGUUGUAAUCUAGAGAAGUAUUAUCCGCGCUGGACCGUGUACAAGUCCCCUGGAAUGGGGCGUCAUAGAGGGUGAGAAUCCCGUCUUUGACACGGACUGCCAGGGCUUUGUGAUGUGCUCUCAAAGAGUCGAGUUGUUUGGGAAUGCAGCUCAAAAUGGGUGGUAAAUUCCAUCUAAAGCUAAAUAUUGGCGAGAGACCGAUAGCGAACAAGUACCGUGAGGGAAAGAUGAAAAGAACUUUGGAAAGAGAGUUAAACAGUACGUGAAAUUGCUGAAAGGGAAACGCUUGAAGUCAGUCGCGUUGGCCAGGGAUCAACCUUGCUUUUUUGCUUGGCUUACUUUCUGGUCGAUGGGUCAGCAUCAAUUUUGACUGGUGGAAAAAGUUCAAGGGAAUGUGGCAUCUUCGGAUGUGUUAUAGCCUUUGUUCACAUACAUCAGUUGGGAUUGAGGAACUCAGCACGCCGCAAGGCCGGGUUUUUAACCACGUACGUGCUUAGGAUGCUGGCAUAAUGGCUUUAAUCGACCCGUCUUGAAACACGGACCAAGGAGUCUAACAUGCCUGCGAGUGUUUGGGUGAAAAACCCGAGCGCGUAAUGAAAGUGAAAGUUGAGAUCCCUGUCGUGGGGAGCAUUGACGCCCGGAUCUGACCUUUUGUGACGAUUCUGCGGUAGAGCAUGUAUGUUGGGACCCGAAAGAUGGUGAACUAUGCCUGAAUAGGGUGAAGCCAGAGGAAACUCUGGUGGAGGCUCGUAGCGAUUCUGACGUGCAAAUCGAUCGUCAAAUUUGGGUAUAGGGGCGAAAGACUAAUCGAACCAUC
rnacentral:rRNA from 3 species